CUACGGGUCGCUGCAGUAGGGAAUCUUAGACAAUGGGGGAAACCCUGAUCUAGCCAUGCCGCGUGAGUGAUGAAGGCCUUAGGGUUGUAAAGCUCUUUCGCUGGGGAAGAUAAUGACGGUACCCAGUAAAGAAACCCCGGCUAACUCCGUGCCAGCAGCCGCGGUAAUACGGAGGGGGUUAGCGUUGUUCGGAAUUACUGGGCGUAAAGCGCGCGUAGGCGGGCUAUUAAGUCAGGGGUGAAAUCCCGGGGCUCAACCCCGGAACUGCCUUUGAUACUGGUAGUCUUGAGUUCGAGAGAGGUGGGUGGAAUUCCGAGUGUAGAGGUGAAAUUCGUAGAUAUUCGGAGGAACAUCAGUGGCGAAGGCGACUCACUGGCUCGAUACUGACGCUGAGGUGCGAAAGUGUGGGGAGCAAACAGGAUUAGAUACCCCGGUAGUC
rnacentral:rRNA from 1 species